AGAGUUUGAUCCUGGCUCAGAUUGAACGCUGGCGGCAGGCCUAACACAUGCAAGUCGAGCGCGAAAGGCCUUCGGGCUGAGUAGAGCGGCGGACGGGUGAGUAACGCGUAGGAAUCUACCUGGUAGUGGGGGACAACUUGGGGAAACUCAAGCUAAUACCGCAUACGCCCCAAGGGGGAAAGCGGGGGACCUUCGGGCCUCGCGCUAUCAGAGGAGCCUGCGUAGGAUUAGCUAGUUGGUAGGGUAAAGGCCUACCAAGGCGACGAUCCUUAGCUGGUCUGAGAGGAUGAUCAGCCACACUGGGACUGAGACACGGCCCAGACUCCUACAGGAGGCAGCAGUGGGGAAUAUUGCGCAAUGGGGGCAACCCUGACGCAGCCAUGCCGCGUGUGUGAAGAAGGCCUUCGGGUUGUAAAGCACUUUCAAUGGGGAAGAAAAGCGUAGCGUAAUAGCGUUCGCUGCUGACUUUACCCAUAGGAGAGCACGGCUACUUCGUGCCAGCAGCCGCGGUAAUAC
rnacentral:rRNA from 1 species